AACAUUAUUGGUGGACUUUUAACAUGGAGAAGAUAAUAGACCUGAUGGUCUAUUUGACUCUUCUAAUGGAUUGCUCGCUCCGCUGCAACUAUGGUUGAAAAAUUUUAUCAUCUACCAUAUGUUCUAAAUCUCUGAUUUAUUAUUGAUGAAGGUUAUUGAUAAUUUAAUUAUCUUUAGUCAUGAUAUUCUUUACUGGGUUAUUUGUGCUCACCCUUUGCUUCACAAUUCCUUUCAGGUAAUAAGAGUGUAGCUGGGUCGAGCGAGGAUAAUAGGGAAAUAGUGUGAUGGUCCGAGACUGUCGAAGUUUCUAAAUAC
rnacentral:lncRNA from 1 species